AAGGCAUCCUUCUCAAGCAACUUUAGUACCUCAUGUUGGUUAUUUAGCUUGGCAACGUCGAUGGGAGUCUUGCCAUCCAUGUUCUGGAGGGUAACAGCAGCGCCAUUCUCUAGUAGAAGGGCUACACAUUCCUUCCUUCCAUAUCCAGCUGCAUAAUGAAGCGCAGUGUUCUUAUUUUUAUCCAGUGCAUCAACAGUUGCUCCUGCCUCAAGAAGAAUUUGAGCGCACUUUACCUCCCCAUAUCCACAUGCAAAGUGCAAUGCUGUUCUUCCCUCUGAAUCCUCUUCAUCCUUGUUGGCACCAGAAGCCAAUGCAUUUUUCAAACCCUCAAAAUCACCAACACUAGCACAAUUGUGAACAAUGGACUCAUCUUCAUUUCCCCCAUCUUCUGCUUCAUCUUGUCCAGAAUUUUCUACAGAAGUAGCUGCUUCUCCAGAAACAGAGAGACCCAUUGCUUCACCCAACUUCUGUAGAACCUCUUUGUCAUUCCAAUACCUCAUCAUUGUUGCCGGACCACCAGACUCUAUCUCUUCUAAAAUAGGUUUUAAAGAAGGAUCUUCUUUAAUUCGUGCCAUUCGUUCCUCAAUCUGAUCUUUCUGUGAUGGAUUUGCCAAACUCUCAAGCAUUUGAGACAUUGAGGGAUCCUGCAUCAAUGCAUUGCCAAGGCGUUCAGCCAUAGUCAUAAAUUGAGGAUUCUGCAUGACCUGUUGCAUGGUGGAAUAGUAUUGUUG
rnacentral:misc_RNA from 1 species